UACGGGGGGGGCAAGCGUUGUUCGGAAUUACUGGGCGUAAAGGGCUCGUAGGUGGCCAACUAAGUCAGACGUGAAAUCCCUCGGCUUAACCGGGGAACUGCGUCUGAUACUGGAUGGCUUGAGUUUGGGAGAGGGACGCGGAAUUCCAGGUGUAGCGGUGAAAUGCGUAGAUAUCUGGAGGAACACCGGUGGCGAAGGCGGUCUGCUGGGGUAAUGCUGACACUGAUGCGCGACAGCGUGGGGAGCAAACAGGG
rnacentral:rRNA from 1 species